AAGCGUUAAUCGGAAUUACUGGGCGUAAAGCGCACGCAGGCGGUUUGUUAAGUCAGAUGUGAAAUCCCCGGGCUCAACUUGGGAACUGCAUCUGAUACUGGCAAGCUUGAGUCUCGUAGAGGGGGGUAGAAUUCCAGGUGUAGCGGUGAAAUGCGUAGAGAUCUGGAGGAAUACCGGUGGCGAAGGCGGCCCCCUGGACGAAGACUGACGCUCAGGUGCGAAAGCGUGGGGAGCAAACAGGAUUAGAUACCCUGGUAGUCCACGCCGUAAACGAUGUCGACUUGGAGGUUGUGCCCUUGAGGCGUGGCUUCCGGAGCUAACGCGUUAAGUCGACCGCCUGGGGAGUACGGCCGCAAGGUUAAAACUCAAAUGAAUUGACGGGGGCCCGCACAAGCGGUGGAGCAUGUGGUUUAAUUCGAU
rnacentral:rRNA from 1 species